UGGUCCCCUUGGAUAUUACAGAAAGAAGGGACAGAAGAAGAGAGCCGAGGGAGGGGAAGGAAGCUUGCAGCACUGCUCGCUAUGCUGGGUUCUGUAAAAUCAGGUGAUUAGACAUGGGAGGAGGAAGGACAGAAGUAUCACCCUUCGGACUCCUCUGGAGAGGCUGAGACAUCACCAUGGUCACAUCCUGGAAUCUGGGAAUGAGGACUGGUUGAGGCUGGAAGCCACUGUCCUCAAGACCAGCUUGAAUCUGGAAUGUGCCCCGAAGACCCAUGAGCUAAAGGCUUGGCUUUCAGAUGCUGUUGGAGUGGUGGAGCCUUUAGAGAUAGGCUCUAGUAGGAAAAAAAUACAUGACUGGGAACAUGCCAUUGAAGGAGAUUGUUUUCCAUGGUGAUGUGCUGGACCAUCAGAAGCCCCAGAGUAAUGGUGCCAAGUGAUAAAGGCUGAAACUCCCCAAACUCCUGCACUCGAGGCCUCUUGACUGUGCCCUAAGUCUGCCUCCUAUAUCCACUUGACAGUUUUGCUUCAGUUCUACCCAAGAGGAAAGUGGAUCAUCUAAGGAGCCAACAAGAAUUACAGAGGAAGGAGGCCUUGGCUACAUUCAAGUGACAUGCUGUUUGGACAAAAACAAACCCAGUGACAACUGUGAUGUGGUUUUCUGUAGAUCUAGUAAGACAGUGCACAAGCAAGCUCUUCCCUGUCUAAGAACAAGUAUUUAUCCUGAGUUUGCUGGCCACGUGGCAACAUCUACCCAGGCAGAGUUGAUGGUGUGACGACUCCCCAACUGUGCAGUAUGAAGGAAGUCAGUAAGUCAUUAGCUGACAGUAGUCUUGGCAAGUAUUAGUGCCCCUUGCUUAAGACAGCUUUUACCCUGCUUGCUGGAAAGUUGCCUCACCCCACUGAACAGGCCACAGGUAGACAUUAUGCUGCCACCUGUCAGAAGAUUGCCAUUAUGAAAACUGCAGUCUAGAACAACUUCAUGCAACUUCAGUGUGAAGACCAGUCUCUAGCCGUGUCUUCAACAAGCAGAGAGGGAGUCCCUGAAGAAUGAUGCUGUUUAUUUGGGAAUAAGCCAGAGACAUCAUCAUGUGGAAUACACCUGCCACUGUAGCUCUAUUCGAAGUCAGAGCAAAGGAGAGUUGAUCUGUGUUCACAUUUUUAUACCAAGUGAGCAGAACAACUGUAUGCUUUCUUACAGCCAGUGAUGGCACAUCUGGCAAAACUGGGAAAACUGGCAAGAGCGCGUAUGUCCAGGCCCUCGGGCACCUCAGUCAAGCUGAGGAGACAUUGAUCCAAAUAAUCCUCUGAGCAUGUACACAGUGACAAAUGGAUAAGCACUUGGAAGCAAAACAAUGAGGAGUCUGGGGGAUUCUGAAACAAGACGAUAAAUGCAUCUUUAACAUUUAAACACUUUUUAUAACAAGUUCCUUUUAACACUAAAUGUCUAAAAGGACAGGAAUUUCAGAGACUACUACUGUGGGCAGGACAAAAGUGUGUGAUAACAGAGAUGUCUGGAGAAGUGCUUUAACAUCUGAUUCUUAGGAACCCCCCUUGCCCACCAGACGGCAUCUGGGUAGAUCCACCCAAUCUAGUGACUUCUAGUCCAGUUCCAUCCCCUCUCCUCAAAGCUCUCCCAGGUCUAUGGUCAGUCUCUGGAGAUAAGAGUUCUGCCCUCUGUAGGGGCAGGUGUCCCAGGAACCCUUUAGAACUCACCCCAUCCUACUCCUCACCUCUAGGUAGCUUGUUCACUCUGGGAUUCAGUGAAUUCUUCCUGCUCACUUUUGGGCCUCACUGUAGGGCUAUCAAGUGUCCCCCAACCCUCUGUGUCUUUAGGGCUCUGUUUGUAGCCAGUAGCAUUAUUAGGAGGAAGUGGACAUCAUUCCUAGAAGAGAUCAUUCCUAGAAGGUUGAGCCCUAGAAGGAUUGUGGGGCCCCAGUUGUUUCCUCUUUUGUUCUUAUCAAGGCCAUGAAGUGAAGAGUUUCUGCUACAGCACAUACUCCAGGCACAGCAUGCAAGACCACGUCCCCACAGACAGCCCCAAAGCAACAGGUCAGUCCAACUGUAGAAUGAGACCUCCAGAAUUAUGAACCAUGAUAAACUUUUGUUUUUUUUAUAAAGAGAUUGACCUUAAGCAUUUACUACAGUAAUGGGAAGUAAUAUUCUUUCUAGAUCCCAGAAAUUUAUCCCUAUGUUCUAUUUGAGGUGGGAACAGUCACAUCCAAGAGAAGCCAACCACUGUGACUCUGGCUUCUGCCACACCUAACAGGGCCUUUCCAGCCUUUCCCAGUAGGCAUAUGACAAGGUAGGACAUCGUCCCCUGAAGACUGGGGAGCUCAUGUGGCAAUGAUUAUAAAGAUCUGGAAUACUCUCAUUUUGGUCAGAGAAGUAUGUUUUUUUGCAGCAAGACAAUGCAGUGGUUAAUGUAAAAGAUUCGUGUCUUGUUAAAGGGCCAAGAAUAAGAAACCAUGAGUGGUCGGCUGAGGAUAUGGGUAAUCUAUGCUAACCUUCCCAUCCAAGCUAAGACUAUCAUGGAAGAGUGGGCACCAAGGAUGUAGGAAGGUGAGGAGGAGAGCUGUGAAAUACAGGCUUCUGGACAUGACAGGCAGUGCUGGUCGAAUAUGAUUGGAUCAGGAACAGAAAUGAAGACAGUUGGACUACUUUUACAUAGUGUUGCUGCUAUUCUGCAAAGAAUGAAUGAGCUAUUACAUAUUAUCAAAGUUGCUAGAAUCAAACCAGAGCCAACAACUCAACAGAGGAAUGGAUACAAAAAAAUGUGGUACAUUUACACAAUGGAGUACUA